rnacentral:rRNA from 1 species
GACGGACGCUGGCGGCGUGCAUAACACAUGCAAGUCGAACGAUGAAGAAGAGAAUGGAGGCUUUGGUCAAAGUUCGCUUCGGAUUAGUGGCAGACGGGUGAGUAACGCGUGAGCAACCUACCUCUUACAAAGGGAUAGCCAUGGGAAACCGUGAUUAAUACCAUAUGAUACAAUAACAAGGCAUCUUGAGAUUGUUAGAGCUCCGGCGGUAAGAGAUGGGCUCGCGUCCCAUUAGCUAGUUGGUGAGGGUAACGGCCCACCAAGGCGACGAUCCAUAGCCGACCUGAGAGGGUGACCGGCCACACUGGGACUGAGACACGGCCCAG